AUUGAACGCUGGCGGCAGGCUUAACACAUGCAAGUCGAGCGGAGAUGAGGUGCUUGCACCUUAUCUUAGCGGCGGACGGGUGAGUAAUGCUUAGGAAUCUGCCUAUUAGUGGGGGACAACAUACCGAAAGGAAUGCUAAUACCGCAUACGUCCUACGGGAGAAAGCAGGGGAUCUUCGGACCUUGCGCGAAUAGAUGAGCCUAAGUCGGAUUAGCUAGUUGGUGGGGUAAAGGCCUACCAAGGCGACGAUCUGUAGCGGGUCUGAGAGGAUGGUCCGCCACACUGGGACUGAGACACGGCCCAGACGCCUACGGGAGGCAGCAGUGGGGAAUAUUGGACAAUGGGGGGAACCCUGAUCCAGCCAUGCCGCGUGUGUGAAGAAGGCCUUAUGGUUGUAAAGCACUUUAAGCGUGGAGGAGGCUACUGAGACUAAUACUCUUGGAUAGUGGACGUUACUCGCAGAAUAAGCACCGGCUAACUCUGUGCCAGCCGCCGCGGUAAAAC
rnacentral:rRNA from 1 species